rnacentral:rRNA from 1 species
GACGAACGCUGGCGGCGUGCUUAACGCAUGCAAGUCGAACGGUGACCCUCGGAGCUUGCUUCGGGGUGAACAGUGGCGAACGGGUGAGUAACACGUGAGUAACCUGCCCCUGGCUCUGGAAUAAGCGCUGGAAACGGCGUCUAAUACCGGAUACGACACGCCUCCGCAUGGGGAGCGUGUGGAAAGUUUUUCGGUCUGGGAUGGACUCGCGGCCUAUCAGCUUGUUGGUGAGGUAAUGGCUCACCAAGGCGAUGACGGGUAGCCGGCCUGAGAGGGCGACCGGCCACACUGGGGCUGAGACACGGCCCAGACUCCUACGGGAGGCAGCAGUGGGGAAUAUUGCACAGUGGGCGAAAGCCUGAUGCAGCGACGCCGCGUGAGGGAUGACGGCCUUCGGGUUGUAAACCUCUUUCAGCAGGGAAGAAGCGAAAGUGACGGUACCUGCAGGAGAAGCACCGGCUAACUACGUGCCAGCCGCCGCCGUAA